rnacentral:rRNA from 1 species
CUACGUUAGAUUAGCUUGUUGGUGAGGUAAUGGUUUACCAAGGCUAUGAUCUAUAGCUGGUCUGAGAGGACGAUCAGCCACACUGGAACUGAGAUACGGUCCAGACUCCUACGGGAGGCAGCAGUGGGGAAUAUUGGACAAUGGGCGAAAGCCUGAUCCAGCUAUGCCGCGUGAGUGAAGAAGGCCUUCGGGUUGUAAAACUCUUUCAAUAGGGAAGAUAAUGACGGUACCUAUA